UGGGGAAUCUCGGACAAUGGGCGCAAGCCUGAUCCAGCCAUGCCGCGUGGAUGAUGAAGGCCUUAGGGUUGUAAAAUCCUUUCGUUGGGGACGAUAAUGACGGUACCCGCAGAAUAAGCCCCGGCUAACUUCGUGCCAGCAGCCGCGGUAAUACGAAGGGGGCUAGCGUUGUUCGGAAUUACUGGGCGUAAAGCGCACGUAGGCGGAUCAGCAAGUCAGGGGUGAAAUCCCGGGGCUCAACCUCGGAACUGCCUCUGAUACUGCUGGUCUGGAGUCCGGAAGAGGUGGGUGGAAUUCCUAGUGUAGAGGUGAAAUUCGCAGAUAUUAGGAAGAACACCAGUGGCGAAGGCGGCCAACUGGCUCGAUACUGACGCUGAGGUGCGAAAGCGUGGGGAGCAGACAGGAUUAGAUACCCUGGUAGUCCCUGAGCGGGCUGGCAAGGCGCAU
rnacentral:rRNA from 1 species